GAUGAACGCUGGCGGCGUGCCUAAUACAUGCAAGUCGAGCGAACAGACGAGGAGCUUGCUCCUCUGACGUUAGCGGCGGACGGGUGAGUAACACGUGGAUAACCUACCUAUAAGACUGGGAUAACUUCGGGAAACCGGAGCUAAUACCGGAUAAUAUAUUGAACCGCAUGUUCAAUAGUGAAAGACGGUUUUGCUGUCACUUAUAGAUGGAUCCGCGCCGCAUUAGCUAGUUGGUAAGGUAACGGCUUACCAAGGCAACGAUGCGUAGCCGACCUGAGAGGGUGAUCGGCCACACUGGAACUGAGACACGGUCCAGACUCCUACGGGAGGCAGCAGUAGGGAAUCUUCCGCAAUGGGCGAAAGCCUGACGGAGCAACGCCGCGUGAGUGAUGAAGGUCUUCGGAUCGUAAAACUCUGUUAUUAGGGAAGAACAAAUGUGUAAGUAACUAUGCACGUCUUGACGGUACCCAAUCAGAAAGCCACGGCUAACUACGUG
rnacentral:rRNA from 1 species